GCCAAAUAAGCACCAGCAGUCAAGAAAAACUCUAGAAAAAUAUAGAGUUGACUAUCCUGAAUAUUGGGUGAUUUGUCAUACCAUGUUUUAAUGCUAGAAUGAAAUGUAUAGAGAGAGCAAUAUAAAUCAGAUUUGUUACUCAUUAGAAAUGCUUGUACAUUGAACAUAAUUUGUCAAAUCUUUUGUAUAAAAAUAUUAUUGUACACUGUAUAGCACUCCAACUGUAAUUUUACUGUACAAAUGUGUUACGUGUUCUGAAUUAGUACUGAUCGGUAAAUUAUUGUUUUAUCGUAUACUUUUGCAGGGUAAAUCUAAAUUUCAUAGCAUCUAGAGCCAAAUCUACUACAAUCCACAAAGACACUUGAUGAGAAAAUGCUCUGUAGAUUUCGGUUGCUGCAGUGUAAUGAACCAUUUCAUGUUCAUUUGUUUCUUUUGGGUGCGCAGUUACUGACUGAUCUGGUGUUUGUAGUUUGAAAUUAAAUAUAACGUUCAUGAAAUAUGUUUCUAAACACGGGAAACGAGCGUGUGUUAUUUCUGGCGCCAUCCCCUGUCUUGUCUGAUGUACUGCAAGCGGAAACUAUAAACCGGAAACGCUUGACGCACCGUCGUGACGUCACAGCAACAUGGCGCGCUCUCAGAAGGCGUGCUCACUCAAAACAAACGGCGCCGACGCUGUGCAGCACGAGAACCGCACGUUAGAGGGCAUGGAUCUGAGCGGAGGAUCCGCGCUCGGCUUGUUCACCUGUGAGCUGUGCGAAAUAUCCAGCCCGUACAGCUUCUACGGGCAGAAGCCGCCAAACACGAGAGCGAUAGUGCUCUUGGAGGAAUGUUACGGCAUAAAGGAUCCCUUCAGCCCAGAGAGAGAAAAGUUUCUUGUUUUAGGAUCCAAGUGCUGUCUGUGCAGUAAGACGGUGUGUGUGGGAACGGACUGCAGUCUGUUCUACACCAAGCGCUUUUGUUUGCCCUGUGUGCGGGAUCACCGUCAUCAGUUUCCAGAACAUGUUCAGAACGAGGUGCUGAGGAAAAAGAGUGUCCAGAAGACGUCCUCUUCAUGAUACUAGAAUGAUUUAGUCAGGACACUAGUGAGCCAUCUGGCCAGACACAAUAUUAAGUUUGUUUUUUUUAUUAUAUUUGUAGUUGUGUUGCGCAACUGGAGGCAGCAAAGCAUGUUUUGAUAAAAAUCAUUUCUGUGCUGUCAUUUACUGUGAUGAUUUUUCCUAACGGGUUUUAUGAUGGUGAUAAAUGCCUUGUGUUGCAUGUAGCAACUAUAAAAUAAGUGAUGUUUAUGUGUAUGUUUGUGUCAUUGGUUGUGAUUACUUGAUGACUGAAAAGAUAAAUGACUGAUGUAUGCAUGUCUGAUGAUGUAGGUGAGUCUCAAACGGUUGUUGGAGUGCAAACCUGUUGUGAGCAUUACCGCUACACCACACCUCCGGACCUGCCUCCUUCCAGAUCCUUCCGGCCUUAAGUUGAGGCUGAGCCUGACUUAGUUGCAAAAACCACAGUGGGUGGAGCAGACAGAGCCGUGGAGGAGCUGACCGAGGAGUGGUGGAGCUGGAGGACCAGAGAGAUGAUGGUGCAGUGGAACCAGAGUGGAGUGGCUGACCAGACCAAGGAUGGAGCACUGGCAUUGCUGAGGAGCUGGAGACUGGAACGGCUGACUGGAUGGUGGAGCACAGAGUGAAUUGGCAAAUAAAGUGGUGCGAUGACAGUGAAGAGGAGAGUGAUGACAACACCCGAAGAAGGGGGACCAUGACUGUGGUCCCCCCCCAGCCUCCAAGACAAUGACCAGCAGCGGUUAUGCACCUUUUCUUUUAAAACAACGCUACGUAUGUCCCCAAAAACAAAAUUUACACACCCACUAGAUGGCAGUAAAGCUGCUACACAAAUUCUACCUGUUCACUCAUCCACCAUGUUAGUUUUUUCUCUCACAAUUUUAAUCUGCACCUGUGUUGCCACAUCAACAUUUCAUACUUAGCAAAAGGUAUGAAACUUUUUCAAACUAUAUUUUAAUUUAAGGGCCAAUGAUUUGCUGGAUUUCGGUAAUUUAGUCAUUUACUCAACUUGCAAGAAAAAAAACAGUUUCUUCCCCCAGGCAAUCUACCUCACGAACAAUUAAAAUGUGCAAUAACCUUAUAUUUAUGUUACCACCCUCCAUCCUAGUACAUCUUAUAUUCUUUUCCUAUUCUAUUUAUAGCACAUCUAUACAAAAUAAAUUUUUCUACAUACAUUUGGUACAUUUAUAUAUACAUGUGUAUUUUCUUUGCAUCUUUUAUAUCUGUGUUGUUGCUCUGUGUACUGGAUGCGUGUGACCCUAAAACAAAUUCCUUGUGUGCAAACAUACUUAUCAAUAUAGC